rnacentral:rRNA from 1 species
AAACGGAAUUGGGUAGGGGGCAACUUGGGUUCAAAAACGAGGAGGAACACAGGAAUAUGCAAUACACACCAAGAAUUGCAGAAUGCUAUGUUCCUUAGAGAUGUUUGAGCCAAGAUGUGCGUGAAGCCGAGUCGUUUGGGACUCCCAGAGGUCGGGAUC